rnacentral:lncRNA from 1 species
GGCUGGCACUCAGGCGGGGACUAGGCAGGGGAAGGGAGGGUGGGGGAAAACUGGGUCUGAAGGAAUGAGGGCCCCCUCCCUCUGGGCUUUCCUCCUAGAGGGCCUCAGUCCCUCCUGCUGGCUGGGCUGCACGACCCCCAAUCCUUGCUCCCCUAACCCGGAGGAGGGGGCCAGACCAGGGAGGGCAGUGGACAGGGAGCCUGGGGGAGUUGGGGAGCGCAGGGCAGGGUCCAUGGUGUGCAGAGGGGGUGGCAGCCACCUAGGUGGUCAGUUCCUGGCAGCGAUGACCACAGAGAGUGCCACACCCCCCAAGGCAACAGCAGUCGCCCCAAACAGCCACUUCCAUGGGAUGGA